rnacentral:lncRNA from 1 species
AUGGAAUUCUCUUCAUUCAUUCAGGACGAAGAACGUAACUCGAGAAUAUUGAUACAUAUGAGCCACUUUUUCUUUUUUUUUUUCUCGCAGCUGAAAAAUGUUGUCGAAGGUACAAGUGAAACUUGCUCUAGGAAAUCGCAACUGUUUAACCCAGAAAUUGUCAGUAACAAUCAAGUUGAGUCCCAGAGCUCCAGUAUGGAGUUUCAAGGAAACACAGAUUCCCUCGAGGGAGCAGCAAAUAUAUUCAAUUUCCCUGGAGAAGUAAUUGCUGAUGUCACUAUUAAAAGUGGUCCAGAAGGAUCUCGAUCUCAUUCUCUAGAUCCUCGCCCUUGUCCAGUCUGCGGACACGUUUACAGCAAUUUAUCAAAUUUACGACAGCACAUUAGACUGAUUCACAAUCCAGAGUGUGUGACGUGUCCUCUGUGUUCCAAGACUUUCAAAAACAAGUUGUACCUCAAAAGACACUUGAUUAGUUUCCAUGAACUAGCACCACCCUCGCAAGACCAAGACCGUGCCAAAGCAGCCAUGUAUAGUAACCUCUUAAAUAAUGCCGCCUUGUCCUCUGAUCAAAAUAGUAAUCCAGUUGAUCCGCGAUCGUAUUCCCAUGUCAUGUCCACGCAAGGAAUCAGUCCAAGAAGGAGACACGACGAAAUCAACAGCAUGUUGUUUGGACAUCAAAAAAAUCUAAUUAAUCCCCAAAAAAGCACAUUCUUUGAUCAAAGCUUAGAUGAUAAAUUAGAAACUCCCAUGGAUACAAACAGUAAUUGUUAUAACGAGUUUCACCCUUACGGUGCUGUGUUGGAUAAGAGUGUAAUGAACAAUAAUCAUGAUACACUGUCAUCACAUAACAAACAAUCAGUCCUAGCCCCGGGGAAGCACCAAUAUUUACAGAGUCCUGUAACUUCCUCAAAUAGUCCAUCAAAUCCCGUCCAAAACUAG